rnacentral:tRNA from 4 species
GGGGCUAUAGCGCAGCUGGUAGCGCACCUGCAUGGCAUGCAGGGGGUCAGGGGUUCAAAUCCCCUUAGCUCCAC